rnacentral:rRNA from 1 species
AAGUCGUAACAAGGUCUCCGUUGGUGAACCAGCGGAGGGAUCAUUACCGAGUGUUUACGCUCACCAAACCCACUGUGAACCUUACCACUGUCGUUGCUUCGGCGGGCGCAGACCCCCCCCGGAAGGGGAGGGCGCGGGCCCGCCGGCGGCACCCAAACUCUUCUGUAUCUUGCUCUAGCGUCUCUUCUGAGUAACAAAAGACAAACAAUCAAAACUUUCAACAACGGAUCUCUUGGCUGUGGCAUCGAUGAAGAACGCAGCGAAAUGCGAUAACUAAUGUGAAUUGCAGAAUUCAGUGAAUCAUCGAGUCUUUGAACGCACAUUGCGCCCGCUGGUAUUCCGGCGGGCAUGCCUGUCCGAGCGUCAUUUCGUCCCUCAAGCCCCCGCGCUUGGUGUUGGGCACCCCGCGGCCUCGCGCCGCGGGCGCCCCAAAUGCAUCGGCGGUCCCGCCUGGCGGCUCCCUGCGUAGUAGAACCUCUUCUCGCAUCGGGUCCCGGGCGCGGCCGGCCGCUAAACCCCCCCCAAUCGUACCAACGGUUGACCUCGGAUCAGGUAGGAAUACCCGCUGAACUUAA